UAGGGAAUCUUCCGCAAUGGGCGAAAGCCUGACGGAGCAACGCCGCGUGAGUGAUGAAGGUCUUCGGAUCGUAAAACUCUGUUAUUAGGGACGAACAAAUGUGUAAGUAACUAUGCACGUCUUGACGGUACCUAAUCAGAAAGCCACGGCUAACUACGUGCCAGCAGCCGCGGUAAUACGUAGGUGGCAAGCGUUAUCCGGAAUUAUUGGGCGUAAAGCGCGCGUAGGCGGUUUUUUAAGUCUGAUGUGAAAGCCCACGGCUCAACCGUGGAGGGUCAUUGGAAACUGGAAAACUUGAGUGCAGAAGAGAAAAGUGGAAUUCCAUGUGUAGCGGUGAAAUGCGCAGAGAUAUGGAGGAACACCAGUGGCGAAGGCGACGUUCUGGUCUGUAACUGACGCUGAUGUGCGAAAGCGUGGGGAUCAAACAGG
rnacentral:rRNA from 1 species